AUUCUAUCCAUCCACUACUUUCUUCUCGUCCAUUCUCGAACGAAGAAACCCUAGAUGUUGACUUCUAAUCUUCUUCCCUCUCUUCCACAGAUUUGCAAAUUAGUCAUGUCUCUAUCUAAGAAAUUCGAAUUUUCAGAAUACCCUUUUGCUCUUCUUCUGCAUUGUUGGUUGACGAUCUUCUUUUUGUAUUGUUAGCCGUUCAAUUUUCUCUAUUCUGUUUGUUCAAACUUGUGUGAAUGCAAAAUGAAUAUAUUUACCACUCAAAACCCAGUACUUUUAGUUUUAAUUUUUAAAUUAUCAAAAAUUAAUUUUUGCAUGUGUGUGCAUAAUUAUUAGUAGGGAUUUGAAUGGAUUAUUUUCGGAGGUUGAAUUGAAAUCUAUUGGAUGAAGAAGAAGUCGGACUGUUGAGGUGUGUGAGCUUAGGUGCCAAAAUUGAGUGAAGGGCUUUCUUCUUUUGGUAGAAUGCUGCUGAACAAAUCACAUUCUCCUUCUUCACGGCAGAAUCCAGUUAAUACUUAUUAUUAAGAGCUUUCGAACGUUUCAUAAUUAUUUUUGAUAAAUCUUUUUCUGUGCUUUUUUCAGGAAGUAAAAAGUCCUCCAACCUCUACCGAUGAUGAUGAAGCCAACGACGAAGAGCGAUAGAUGAGGAGCUCAAACGCGACUGUUUGCAAACGAGUUUGGCAGAAACUCACACAAUCGAAAUUUUUUAUUUGUCUUCAUUUGGAGUUUGUCCAUGUUUUGGAGGGAGUUGUGCAGGUCUGAUUGUGUGUGGAAAGCUCUAUGCAAAGAUGGUUGUUAUGCACGUGAUUUUGAUAAAGAUUCUUCAGCUUUCCAAGAUCAAAAUUUCGAGCUUGACCAGUGAAUGAAUUCCAAUUUAAAGAUUUCAUACAUUCUUGUGGAUUUACUAAUAUGAUGGGCAUAAGAGGAUACAUUAAUGACUUCAGGAAAAAGAAGAUGAAGUUUGAUCCUACUGCAUACUUGAGUACAUACUAUGAGUCAGUAUCUCAUUUACCAACGGGCUACAUGUGAAGUUCCCACAUUGUGCCAAAGCAAAAUGACUGUGGCCGUCUGGUUGAUAUUGUCGACUCUGGCCAUCUGGUUGAUAUUGUUGGUUAUUUUUUUUUAAACUAGCAAUCAAAAUGUCAACCUCCUGAAGAAUUUGCUGAAUGGAUGCAAAAGGGAUUUAGGCCCUUCAACUAAGUUCGUAGAAGAAAUUUCUAAUUAUUAUUAGUAUUUUCACUUAGAAGCAAUUUUUAGUACACAAUGGAACUUUUGUCUCAUAAGAUUUUUUCACAUAUAAGUAAAUUUUUUAGUUAUUACAUUAUUGUUUUA